GUGUCAGCCGCCGCGGUAAGACAGAGGGUGCAAACGUUGUUCGGAAUUACUGGGCGUAAAGCGCGUGUAGGCGGCGUAGCAAGUCGGGCGUGAAAGCCCACGGCUCAACCGUGGAAGAGCACUCGAAACUGCUGCGCUAGAGUUCUGGAGAGGAAGGCGGAAUGCUUGGUGUAGAGGUGAAAUUCGUAGAUAUCAAGCGGAACACCGGUGGCGAAGGCGGCCUUCUGGACAGUGACUGACGCUGAAACGCGAAAGCGUGGGGAGCAAACAGGAUUAGAUACCCCAGUAGUCC
rnacentral:rRNA from 1 species